AAAUGAUUAUUAUUCUUCAAGAAGAAAUCCACUAACAGCAUCCUUUUCAGAAUGAAGAUCUGAAAAGGAAGAGAUUAUCUCCUCUUUAAUGCUGUAUCCCAAAGCCUAGAAGAACCAGAGACUUACUAGCUAAUCAAUAAAUAUUGCUGAGUAAAUAAAUGACAGACAUUUGCAUGCAGGCCUCAAGGAGCAGCUGAAGUGAUAGAGGUAGAAUGAGGCAAUAAAUUAUUAGCAAAGAGAGCGGAGUAUUUACAGGCAGCGAUAUACUAAUGAACCUAAAAAUUUGGAGAAUAUUUGGAAAAAUAAAAGAGCUUGCAUCCCUGGAAUGCAACGAAAAGAAAAGUGCUCAAAAAGUGAUAAUAUACACAGUGUCAAUUUGUUCACUGCUUUUUUGGAAUGUUUGAAAUUUAUUGUAAGUAGAUCAUUUAUCCAUUAGAGUGACUAAGUGUUUUAAGAGUAUAGUUCUAUAAUCCCAUUCAAUUAGCUUUUAUUUAAUGGGUUC
rnacentral:lncRNA from 1 species